UUUAAUGAGAGUUUGAUUCUGGCUCAGGAUUAAUGCUGGCGGUAUGCAUAACACAUGCAAGUCGGACGAAUUAACUCGAAAGGGUUAUUUAGUGGCAAACGGGCGAGUAAUACAUACUUAACUUACAUUUGCGAGUAGAAUAGCAAUCCGAAAGGGUUAUUAAUACUACAUAGGCUUAUACCUUGAAAGAGGUUUAAGUUAAAGAUGCGUUCUGAGUUUUUUAAAUUUAAGAGCAUUGCGCAUAUAUAGGAGUAUGUCCCAUUAGUUAGUUGGCGGGGUAAAUGCCCACCAAGACAAUGAUGGGUAGCUGGGCUGAGAGGCUGAACAGCCGCAAUGGGAUUGAGAUAUGGCUCAUAUUCCUACGGGAAGCAGCAGUGGGGAAUUUUUCACAAUGAACGAAAGUUUGAUGAAGCAAUACCGCGUGAAUGAUGAAGGUCUAUUGAUUGUAAAGUUCUUUUAUUUAGGAAAAAAAGCAUGAUAGGAAAUGAUUAUGCCCUGAUUGUACUAAUUUGAAUAAGUGACAGCUAACUAUGUGCCAGCAGCUGCGGUAAAACAUAGGUCACGAGCAUUAUCCGGAUUUAUUGGGCGUAAAGGAAGAGUAGGCGGAGGAAUAGAUUUAUUGUGAAAUGCAUUUGCUCAACAAAUGUUUGCGAUAAAGAUCUUUCCUCUAGAAUUAGUUUGGGGGUACUGGAAUUCAAUGUGUAGCGGUGGAAUGCGUAGAGAUAUUGAGGAACACCAGAGGCUAAGGCGAGUACCUGGGACAUAAUUGACGCUGAGUCUUGAAAGCGUGGGGAGCAAAUGGGAUUAGAUACCCCAGUAGUCCACGCCGUAAACGAUGGGUAUUAAGUAUUUGGUUUAGGACUGAGUGCUGUAGCUAACGCGUUAAAUACCCCGCCUGGGUAGUAUAUAUGCAAAUAUGAAACUCAAAGAAAUUGACGGGGACCUGAACAAGUGGUGGAGCAUGUUGCUUAAUUCGAUAAUACACGAAGAACCUUACCAAGGCUUGACAUCUUCUGCAAAUCUAUAGAAAUAUAGUGGAGUAUAUCAGAAUGACAGGUGGUGCAUGGCUGUCGUCAGCUCGUGUCUUGAGAUGUUUGGUUAAGUCCCGUAACGAGCGCAACCCUACUUUCUAGUUAAAUAGUUCUAGAAUGACUGAAUCGUAAGAUAUAGGAAGGUUGGGGCCAAGUCAAGUCAUCAUGCCCCUUAUGCUUUGGGCUGCAAACGUGCUACAAUGGUAGAGACAAAGUGAGGCAAUCUAGUAAUAGUGAGCAAAUCACCUAAAACCUAUCUUAGUCCGGAUAAAAGGCUGAAAUUCGCCUAUUUGAAGUUGGAAUCACUAGUAAUCCUGUGUCAGAUAUAUCAGGGUGAAUGCGUUCCCAGGUCUUGUACACACCGCCCGUCAAACUAUGAGAGAAGGGACUAACUGAAGAUGCAUACUUUCUUAAAUGUAUUGAGGUUAGUGCCUUUGAUUGGAGUUAAGUCGUAACAAGGUACCCGUACGAGAACGUGCGGGUGGAAAACUUAAUUA
rfam:Podiceps cristatus contig35062, whole genome shotgun sequence.